AUUGAACGCUAGCGGGAUGCUUUACACAUGCAAGUCGAACGAGUGUCGGACGGGUGAGUAAUAUAUCGGAACGUGCCCGGUAGAGGGGGAUAACUACUCGAAAGAGUUGCUAAUACCGCAUACUCUUGGAGCGGCCCAUAUUGGAUUAGCUAGUUGGUGGGGUAAAGGCGCACAAAGGCCACGAUCCGAAGCUGGUUUGAGAGGACGACCAGCCACACUGGAACUGAGACACGGCCCAGACUCCUACGGGAGGCAGCAGUGGGGAAUUUGGGACAAUGGGGGAAACCCUGAUCCAGCCAUCCCGCGUGUAUGAGAAGGCCUUCGGGUUGUAAAGUACGUUUGGCGGGGAGGCGGUAUCUGCAGAAUAAGCACCGGCUAACUACGUGCCAGCAGCCGCGGUAAUUC
rnacentral:rRNA from 1 species